CCGGGGCUGCCAUGGCCCGCUCGUGCCGCCAGAGGGAGCCUCGGGCCCGCGGGAAGCGGCAGCGCCCGGGGAGGGGCGGGAGGGAGCCCGGCCCGGCCCUGUCCCCGUCGGGUCACCGCCGCUGUCCCCUCCCCAUCCUGUCCUCGUCCCCUUCCUGCCAAGCCCUGAGUGCGGCUGGGCCGGUUUCUGGGGGUGCUGGGCCGAUUUUAGGGGGGUGUGAAGCCAGCCCUGACCCUCGGGAUGGGAUAUUCCAGCCAGCUCCUUCUGCACCCCAAAUCCACCCCAAAUCCUUCCCUGGGGCAGGGAAGGGGCUGUGUCCCUGUCCCCCCUCCCCGGGGAAAGGCAUCACUCCUCCUUUAUUAACAACAUUUAAAGCCGAGUGGGCGCCUAAAUCAACAAAAAUUAUUCAUGAGAGUCGUUAGCUGCUCAAA